UACGUAGGGUGCGAGCGUUAAUCGGAAUUAUUGGGCGUAAAGCGUGCGCAGGCGGUUCGUUGUGUCGGUGGUGAAAGCCCCGGGCUUAACCUGGGAAUGGCCAUGGAAACUGGCGAACUGGAGUGUGGCAGAGGGGGGUGGAAUUCCGCGUGUAGCAGUGAAAUGCGUAGAGAUGCGGAGGAACACCGAUGGCGAAGGCAGCCCCCUGGGCUAGCACUGACGCUCAGGCACGAAAGCGUGGGGAGCAAACAGG
rnacentral:rRNA from 1 species